rnacentral:sRNA from 1 species
UUACGUCCGAAACGGGUCGUCGUACCCCC